rnacentral:rRNA from 1 species
AACGAACGCUGGCGGCAUGCCUAACACAUGCAAGUCGAACGAGACCUUCGGGUCUAGUGGCGCACGGGUGCGUAACGCGUGGGAACCUGCCCUUAGGUUCGGAAUAACUCCCCGAAAGGGGUGCUAAUACCGGAUAAUGUCUUCGGACCAAAGAUUUAUCGCCUUUGGAUGGGCCCGCGUUGGAUUAGCUAGUUGGUAGGGUAAAAGCCUACCAAGGCGACGAUCCAUAGCUGGUCUGAGAGGAUGAUCAGCCACACUGGGACUGAGACACGGCCCAGACUCUUACGGGAGGCAGCAGUAGGGAAUAUUGGCAAUGGGCGAAAGCCUGAUCCAGCAAUGCCGCGUGAGUGAUGAAGGCCUUAGGGUUGUAAAGCUCUUUUACCCGGGAUGAUAAUGACAGUACCGGGAGAAUAAGCUCCGGCUAACUCCGUG